GAUGAACGCUGGCGGCGUGCCUAAUACAUGCAAGUCGAGCGAACAGACGAGGAGCUUGCUCCUCUGACGUUAGCGGCGGACGGGUGAGUAACACGUGGAUAACCUACCUAUAAGACUGGGAUAACUUCGGGAAACCGGAGCUAAUACCGGAUAAUAUAUUGAACCGCAUGGUUCAAUAGUGAAAGACGGUUUUGCUGUCACUUAUAGAUGGAUCCGCGCCGCAUUAGCUAGUUGGUAAGGUAACGGCUUACCAAGGCAACGAUGCGUAGCCGACCUGAGAGGGUGAUCGGCCACAUUGGAACUGAGACACGGUCCAGACUCCUACGGGAGGCAGCAGUAGGGAAUCUUCAGCAAUGGGCGAAAGCCUGACGGAGCAACGCCGCGUGAGUGAUGAAGGUCUUCGGAUCGUAAAACUCUGUUAUUAGGGAAGAACAAAUGUGUAAGUAACUAUGCACGUCUUGACGGUACCUAAUCAGAAAGCCACGGCUAACUACGUG
rnacentral:rRNA from 1 species